rnacentral:rRNA from 1 species
GACGAACGCUGGCGGCGUGCCUAAUACAUGCAAGUAGGACGCACAGUUUAUACCGUAGCUUGCUACACCAUAGACUGUGAGUUGCGAACGGGUGAGUAACGCGUAGGUAACCUGCCUAUUGAGGGGGAUAACUAUUGGAAACGAUAGCUAAUACCGCAUAACAGUAUGUAACACAUGUUAGAUGCUUGAAAGAUGCAAUUGCAUCGCUAGUAGAUGGACCUGCGUUGUAUUAGCUAGUAGGUAGGGUAAUGGCCUACCUAGGCAACGAUACAUAGCCGACCUGAGAGGGUGAUCGGCCACACUGGGACUGAGACACGGCCCAGACUCCUACGGGAGGCAGCAGUAGGGAAUCUUCGGCAAUGGGGGGAACCCUGACCGAGCAACGCCGCGUGAGUGAAGAAGGUUUUCGGAUCGUAAAGCUCUGUUGUUAAGGAAGAACGAGUGUGAGAAUGGAAAGUUCAUAC